rnacentral:rRNA from 1 species
GACGAACGCUGUCGGCGUGCUUAACACAUGCAAGUCGAACGAAGUGGCGAACGGGUGAGUAACGCGUAAUCAACCUGCCCUUCAGAGGGGGACAACAGUUGGACACGACUGCUACUACCUCAUACUGCAGGAGGGGAUUGCGUCUGAUUAGCUAGUUGGAGGGGGAACGGCACAACAAGGCGAUGAUCAGUAGCCGGUCUGAGAGGAUGAACGGCCAAAUUGGGAAUGAGGAACGGCGCAGAGUCCGACGGGAGGCAGCAGUGGGGAAGCUUCCGCAAUGGACGAAAGGCUGACGGAGCAACGCCGCGUGAGGGAUGACGGCCUUCGGGUUGUAAAGCUCUGUUAAUCGGGACGCGGUACCGGAAUAGAAAGCAACGGCUAACUACGUGCCAGCAGCCGCGGUAAUAC